rnacentral:rRNA from 1 species
CACGUAGGGUGCGAGCGUUGUCCGGAAUUAUUGGGCGUAAAGAGCUCGUAGGCGGUGUGUCGCGUCGGCCGUGAAAACCUGCAGCUUAACUGUGGGCGUGCGGUCGAUACGGGCAUCACUGGAGUCCGGCAGGGGAGACUGGAAUUCCUGGUGUAGCGGUGAAAUGCGCAGAUAUCAGGAGGAACACCGGUGGCGAAGGCGGGUCUCUGGGCCGAUACUGACGCUGAGGAGCGAAAGCGUGGGGAGCGAACAGG